ensembl:lincRNA
UGAACAUAAAACCACCAGUAGGAUAAAAUCAGAAGUAUCAACUGUUCAUGUUCCUAGAACCUGACAUGAUACUUGUGUCUGCAGUACUCAUAUAAAAUUUUUCUGUACUAGAUAGAUUGAAGUUAAACACAAACAUAUAAAGAUACACAAACUUAAAGGGAAUAUUCUUGUGUCUUCCUCAAUUUCUUUUCUGGAUAAAUUUAAAAUCAAAUUAUCUGGAUAUUUAUCUUAUUUUCUCCUUUUGCUGUAGUCCAUUGGAUAUUAAUAUGAGGAUUUCUUUACCCCUUGCCCUUCCAGAGCCCAUGGUGGGCAUACUUAUCAAUAAGUGCCCAUGGUGGGCACUUAUUCUUGCCAAGCCCAGUUGGGCCUCCCAAUCCUCAACAAGACAAUGGACAUUGACUGGAAUUGACAUGUGAGAUAAAGCCCAUUUUCCACCCUCGAUUUAAAUACAUUCUUUUAAGGGAGUACUUGGGUAAUUUGGAAAGAAAGGUAGCAAAUGACAUAAUAAAAAAUCAAUAUAUGUAGAGUUCGAGAAUUUUAGAGCCAGAGAAAUCUCAAAGAGUUGUCUUAUUUUUCUUGGACUUGACUUAUUUGCCAAUACACAAAUGUACCAUAUCUGCUACAUAUCUUCUGGUUAUACCCCCCCCCCAUUCCCACCCCAGAUCCAGUGUCUACCCUUCUCCACCCAGCUGUGUGCACUGGGGGCUGACCUGGUCUUCCUUUUGGCAAAUGGCCAGUGGGAGGUACAAGCAGGAGAUCUGCCAAUCAGCCCUAUUUGUACAUUUCCAGGAUCGAUGUAGGAAGAAGUACAUUGCUGUGUGUUUGUAACUCAGGCCAUCAUUUGAGGGUAAGUAACAAAGAGGUCUGGCGUGGCUUUCAAAGGAAGUAAGGUGAAGAUUCUUCUCCCCAGCCUACUAAAUAAACCGCUGAGGCCUUUCAUGACUCAGAAACCACAGACCCCACAGACAACAUGCAUCUAUUCAUUCUUGUCUACGAAUAUUGAUGGAGAGCCUAUUGUGUGACUAACACAGUGCUCUGGUUGAGGAUGUAAUGGUAAAAUAAGAUUCACUCCCUCCCCUCAAAAAUAGAUAAUCCCACUCCAGUGUGGAACAUUCUACAAUGCAUAGGGCAAUGUAAUCUAAUGGCAAAGAACACAAGCUGAGUUUUGUCACUCACCAGGCUGUGUGAUCUUGUACAAGCCACUUCCCUUCUCUGUGUUUCAACUUUCUCAUGUGUAUUUCAAGGAAAUUACCCAGGUUAUGGGAUUAAAUAAAAUAGUGCCUAUCAUGUAUUUAGCCCAAGUGUCAGUAAAUGUGAGCUCUGAUGCUGGCUAUGAUUUUAUGAUAAGAGUUGGCCUGUAAUACCGUGGGGGCACAUUGAUAUCUUGAAGUACCAUAUUUCUGAACAAAUGUAUUUACAUUCAAGGCAAACCUAGAAAAAAAUCCGAGUAAUUGGAAAUAUGUUUUUUAAAAAAUUUUCUGCCCAAGAGCCUCUCUAUCCAAACCUGUUUUCUUUUCCCCUUCUGGAAGCUCUUAGUGUCCUGGUUCUUUGAUUUUCUCUGUCAAUAUAUCUCUCAGUAGACUGGCAGACUGGAAGGAAUCUAAGCAGGAUAUGUCCAUCAUAUUGUCUUUGAUUUAGAGCACUGUCCUUCCUUGAGGUGUUCAUGUCUCACCCAAAGAACGGCAUCAUUUCAGGUAUCAGUGAAACUGCCUUUUCUGAGAGUAGUGAAAGAAUUUGGUAUUUUUACAGGGAGAGAUAGAUAGGCUGAUGGAAUGGUCUCCACAACAGACUCAUGAACACAUGGGAACUUGGUUCACAACAGAGACAGAAAUACAAAUCUACAGAGAGAGGAAGAAUUAGUCAAGUGCUGGGAUGAUUGAUGGAAACAGGAAAUCCCUACCUCACACUUUAGACACAAGUAAAUUCCAGAUGGGAUUAAGAUGUACAUAGGAAAGGGAAAGUUUAAAACUUUGAGGAGGAAACAUAGGGAACUUUUAAACAUAGGGGUUUAUGCCUCAAAUGGCAUACACCAAAAG